rnacentral:rRNA from 1 species
AUGGAGGAGGAGGGUGUAGGCAUGCCGAGUGAUCGGGAGGAUAAUUACAUUGAGCAAGUGCUGCAGGUAGAAGACGAGGACACCAUCGGGGUGAGGGAUGCACUGCCCCAACGCCUGAUCGAAUCUGGAGUUGGUUGUUGUAACCUGAAGGAAGAAUCUGCAAACAUGCAUAAUGUCAGCGAGUGGGUGUUGAUUGCAGUUGCAUGUGCUCUGAGAUAUAUGCUUCUGUACGAUGUUACUGAGCUUCUUACCACGUACAUGGCGCUGAACCUUGUGGAUGGGUAUGGCCAGCCGGCGCUGCUAUACAUCGUUCCUUUCAAAGUGGAGGUGGACAGAGAUGACUACAACCUGCCAGGAGCUGAAACUCUGAAAAAUUUCCCAAGAAAUCGACACUGUAGCACAGGGAAGCUCUCACACAACGUUUCGCUGCUUGCAAGUCUUGUAAUGGACAACUUUACGGCGAUGGAACUGGUGGACUCAGAAGAAAGGAAUGCUCGUCCCUUAGGGCUCAACUGUGUACAUUAUGUUGUCAAAGACAGACGGCGUCGACAUUAG